CAGUUAUUGGGUAUCAAAACCUAAUAGCGAAAUUAACAUAACUUUUAUGGGAUUAGUUUUUAGAUUAUUUAUAGUCUAUUAAUUCAAUCCCGGGGCGUUCUAUAUAGUUAUGUAUAAUAAUAUUUAUAUUAUUUAUACCUCUAACUAGAGCGUACCUUGAGCAUAUAUGCUGUGACCCGAAAGAUGGUGAACUAUACUUGAUCAGGUUGAAGUCAGGGGAAACCCUGAUGGAAGACCGAAACAGUUCUGACGUGCAAAUCGAUUGUCAGAAUUGAGUAUAGGGGCGAAAGACCAAUCGAACCAUCUAGUAGCUGGUUCCCUCCGAAGUUUCCCUCAGGAUAGCUGGUGCAUUUAAAUAUUAUGUAAAAUAAUCUUAUCUGGUAAAGCGAAUGAUUAGAGGCCUUAGGGUCGAAACGACCUUAACCUAUUCUCAAACUUUAAAUGGGUAAGAACCUCACCUUUCUUGGUAUGAAGGUUGUGGUUGUGAUAUAAUGUGCCCAGUGGGCCACUUUUGGUAAGCAGAACUGGCGCUGUGGGAUGAACCAAACGUAAUGUUACGGUGCCCAAAUUAACAACUCAUGCAGAUACCAUGAAAGGCGUUGGUUGCUUAAAACAGC
rnacentral:rRNA from 1 species